GAGACCCACGCCAACAGUUGCCAGCAUGUCCUCCGGGAUGGUGGGGACACUGUUGGGACCGCCUCUGCUAAAGAGGAGGAAGGAAUGGGCAACGGUAGGUCGGCAUGCCCCGAAUUAUCCGGGCUACACGCGGGCUACAAUGGUCAGGACAAUGGGUAUCGACACCGAGAGGUGAAGGCAAUCUCUUAAACCUGUCCUUAGUUCGGAUUGUGGGCUGCAACUCGCCCACAUGAAGCUGGAAUCCGUAGUAAUCGCGUCUCAAAAUGGCGCGGUGAAUAU
rnacentral:rRNA from 1 species